rnacentral:rRNA from 1 species
UACGUAGGCAGCGAGCGUUGUUCGGAGUUACUGGGCGUAAAGAGUGCGUAGGCGGUGCUCCAAGUCUGGUGUGAAAUCUCCCGGCUUAACCGGGAGGUGCGCCGGAAACUGGGGUGCUGGAGUGUGGGAGAGGUAAGGCGGAAUUCCGGUGUAGCGGUGAAAUGCGUAGAUAUCGGGAGGAACACCUGCGGUGUAGACGGCUUACUGGACCAUAACUGACGCUGAGGCACGAAAGCGUGGGUAGCAAACAGG